rnacentral:tRNA from 1 species
CCGAGGGCACGGGCGGCGCGUCCGUACCACGCCGACGCGCCGCCUGUACGACGCCGACGCGCCGCCC